CAGCCGUAAACUAUGCUCGCUAGGUGUCAGGGACGGUGCGACCGUUUCUGGUGCCGCAGGGAAGCCGUGAAGCGAGCCACCUGGGAAGUACGGCCGCAAGGCUGAAACUUAAAGGAAUUGGCGGGGGAGCACCACAACGGGUGGAGCUUGCGGUUUAAUUUGGAUUCAACGCCGGAAAUCUUACCGGGACCGACAGCAACAUGAAGGCCAAGCUGAAGACUUUGCCGGAUUAGCUGAGAGGUGGUGCAUGGCGUAGUCGUGU
rnacentral:rRNA from 1 species